rnacentral:rRNA from 1 species
AGCGAACGCUGGCGGCAGGCUUAACACAUGCAAGUCGAACGGACGUAGCAAUACGUCAGCGGCAGACGGGUGAGUAACGCCUGGCAACGUAGCUUUUGGUUCGGAACAAGACAGGGAAACUUGUGCUAAUAACGAAUACGCCCUUACGGGCAAAGAUGUAUCUCUGAGAGAUCGGCCAGAGUUGGAUCAGCUAGUUGGUGGGGUAAAGGCCCACCAAGAUUACGAGCAGUAGCUGGUCUGAGAGGAUGAUCAGCCACAUUGGGACUGAGACACGGCCCAGACUCCUACGGGAGGCAGCAGUGGGGAAUAUUGGACAAUGGGCGAAAGCCUGAUCCAGCAACGCCGCGUGGGGGAUGACGGCCCUAGGGUUGUAAAGCUCUUUUAUGCGGGAAGAUAAUGACGGUACCAUAAGAAUAAGCCCCGGCAAACUCCGUGCCAGCAGCCGCCGUAACAC